rnacentral:rRNA from 1 species
UUGAACUGAAGAGUUUGAUCCUGGCUCAGAUUGAACGCUGGCGGCAUGCCUUACACAUGCAAGUCGAACGGCAGCACGGGCUUCGGCCUGGUGGCGAGUGGCGAACGGGUGAGUAAUACAUCGGAACAUGUCCUGUAGUGGGGGAUAGCCCGGCGAAAGCCGGAUUAAUACCGCAUACGAUCCACGGAUGAAAGCGGGGGACCUUCGGGCCUCGCGCUAUAGGGUUGGCCGAUGGCUGAUUAGCUAGUUGGUGGGGUAAAGGCCUAC